rnacentral:rRNA from 1 species
UCGAUUCCCUUAGUAGCGGCGAGCGAAACGGGAAGAGCCCAAACCAACAAGCUUGCUUGUUGGGGUUGUAGGACACUCUAUACGGAGUUACAAAGGACGACAUUAGACGAAUCAUCUGGAAAGAUGAAUCAAAGAAGGUAAUAAUCCUGUAGUCGAAAAUGUUGUCUCUCUUGAGUGGAUCCUGAGUACGACGGAGCACGUGAAAUUCCGUCGGAAUCUGGGAGGACCAUCUCCUAAGGCUAAAUACUCUCUAGUGACCGAUAGUGAACCAGUACCGUGAGGGAAAGGUGAAAAGCACCCCGGAAGGGGAGUGAAAUAGAACCUGAAACCGUGUGCUUACAAGUAGUCAGAGCCCGUUAAUGGGUGAUGGCGUGCCUUUUGUAGAAUGAACCGGCGAGUUACGAUUUGAUGCAAGGUUAAGCAGUAAAUGUGGAGCCGUAGCGAAAGCGAGUCUGAAUAGGGCGUUUAGUAUUUGGUCGUAGACCCGAAACCAGGUGAUCUACCCUUGGUCAGGUUGAAGUUCAGGUAACACUGAAUGGAGGACCGAACCGACUUACGUUGAAAAGUGAGCGGAUGAACUGAGGGUAGCGGAGAAAUUCCAAUCGAACCUGGAGAUAGCUGGUUCUCUCCGAAAUAGCUUUAGGGCUAGCCUCAAGUGAUGAUUAUUGGAGGUAGAGCACUGUUUGGACGAGGGGCCCCUCUCGGGUUACCGAAUUCAGACAAACUCCGAAUGCCAAUUAAUUUAACUUGGGAGUCAGAACAUGGGUGAUAAGGUCCGUGUUCGAAAGGGAAACAGCCCAGACCACCAGCUAAGGUCCCAAAAUAUAUGUUAAGUGGAAAAGGAUGUGGCGUUGCCCAGACAACUAGGAUGUUGGCUUAGAAGCAGCCAUCAUUUAAAGAGUGCGUAAUAGCUCACUAGUCGAGUGACACUGCGCCGAAAAUGUACCGGGGCUAAACAUAUUACCGAAGCUGUGGAUUGUCCUUUGGACAAUGGUAGGAGAGCGUUCUAAGGGCGUUGAAGCAUGAUCGUAAGGACAUGUGGAGCGCUUAGAAGUGAGAAUGCCGGUGUGAGUAGCGAAAGACGGGUGAGAAUCCCGUCCACCGAUUGACUAAGGUUUCCAGAGGAAGGCUCGUCCGCUCUGGGUUAGUCGGGUCCUAAGCUGAGGCCGACAGGCGUAGGCGAUGGAUAACAGGUUGAUAUUCCUGUACCACCUAUAAUCGUUUUAAUCGAUGGGGGGACGCAGUAGGAUAGGCGAAGCGUGCGAUUGGAUUGCACGUCUAAGCAGUAAGGCUGAGUAUUAGGCAAAUCCGGUACUCGUUAAGGCUGAGCUGUGAUGGGGAGAAGACAUUGUGUCUUCGAGUCGUUGAUUUCACACUGCCGAGAAAAGCCUCUAGAUAGAAAAUAGGUGCCCGUACCGCAAACCGACACAGGUAGUCAAGAUGAGAAUUCUAAGGUGAGCGAGCGAACUCUCGUUAAGGAACUCGGCAAAAUGACCCCGUAACUUCGGGAGAAGGGGUGCUCUUUAGGGUUAACGCCCAGAAGAGCCGCAGUGAAUAGGCCCAAGCGACUGUUUAUCAAAAACACAGGUCUCUGCUAAACCGUAAGGUGAUGUAUAGGGGCUGACGCCUGCCCGGUGCUGGAAGGUUAAGAGGAGUGGUUAGCUUCUGCGAAGCUACGAAUCGAAGCCCCAGUAAACGGCGGCCGUAACUAUAACGGUCCUAAGGUAGCGAAAUUCCUUGUCGGGUAAGUUCCGACCCGCACGAAAGGCGUAACGAUUUGGGCACUGUCUCAACGAGAGACUCGGUGAAAUCAUAGUACCUGUGAAGAUGCAGGUUACCCGCGACAGGACGGAAAGACCCCGUGGAGCUUUACUGUAGCCUGAUAUUGAAAUUCGGCACAGCUUGUACAGGAUAGGUAGGAGCCUUUGAAACGUGAGCGCUAGCUUACGUGGAGGCGCUGGUGGGAUACUACCCUAGCUGUGUUGGCUUUCUAACCCGCACCACUUAUCGUGGUGGGAGACAGUGUCAGGCGGGCAGUUUGACUGGGGCGGUCGCCUCCUAAAAGGUAACGGAGGCGCUCAAAGGUUCCCUCAGAAUGGUUGGAAAUCAUUCAUAGAGUGUAAAGGCAUAAGGGAGCUUGACUGCGAGACCUACAAGUCGAGCAGGGUCGAAAGACGGACUUAGUGAUCCGGUGGUUCCGCAUGGAAGGGCCAUCGCUCAACGGAUAAAAGCUACCCCGGGGAUAACAGGCUUAUCUCCCCCAAGAGUUCACAUCGACGGGGAGGUUUGGCACCUCGAUGUCGGCUCAUCGCAUCCUGGGGCUGUAGUCGGUCCCAAGGGUUGGGCUGUUCGCCCAUUAAAGCGGUACGCGAGCUGGGUUCAGAACGUCGUGAGACAGUUCGGUCCCUAUCCGUCGUGGGCGUAGGAAAUUUGAGAGGAGCUGUCCUUAGUACGAGAGGACCGGGAUGGACAUACCUCUGGUGUACCAGUUGUCGUGCCAACGGCAUAGCUGGGUAGCUAUGUGUGGACGGGAUAAGUGCUGAAAG